CCUACGGGAGGCAGCAGUCGAGAAUCAUUCACAAUGGGGGAAACCCUGAUGGUGCGACGCCGCGUGGGGGAAUGAAGGUCUUCGGAUUGUAAACCCCUGUCAUGUGGGAGCAAAUUAAAAAGAUAGUACCACAAGAGGAAGAGACGGCUAACUCUGUGCCAGCAGCCGCGGUAAUACAGAGGUCUCAAGCGUUGUUCGGAAUCACUGGGCGUAAAGCGUGCGUAGGCUGUUUCGUAAGUCGUGUGUGAAAGGCGCGGGCUCAACCCGCGGACGGCACAUGAUACUGCGAGACUAGAGUAAUGGAGGGGGAACCGGAAUUCUCGGUGUAGCAGUGAAAUGCGUAGAUAUCGAGAGGAACACUCGUGGCGAAGGCGGGUUCCUGGACAUUAACUGACGCUGAGGCACGAAGGCCAGGGGAGCGAAAGAGAUUAGAUACCCCUGUAGUC
rnacentral:rRNA from 1 species